rnacentral:rRNA from 1 species
CAACUCGGCUGCAUGAAGCUGGAAUCGCUAGUAAUCGCAGAUCAGAAUGCUGCGGUGAAUACGUUCCCGGGUCUUGUACACACCGCCCGUCACACCAUGGGAGUUGGAAAUGCCCGAAGUCAGUGACCGAACCGAAAGGAAGGAGCUGCCGAAGGUGGAGCCGAUGACUGGGGUGAAGUCGUAACAAGGUAGC